AUAAAAAAAAAAAACUAUGACGAUAGCAAUCCCAUUUUUUUUUUUUAACCAAUUGCUGUCUAACAUUUGUUGUCAGGUCAUUUCUUCUACCGGAUAAAUGAAGCAAUAAUUCAACUCCCCAAACACAAAGCUCCAAAAAAUUGGGAUGCGCCAAGGAAAACUUCAGGUAAAAUUUCCCUCAACAAUUUCCCGACUUCACUAACAUGUUCACUUAUGCACAUUUCUG
rnacentral:misc_RNA from 1 species